rnacentral:rRNA from 1 species
AUUGAACGCUGGCGGCAUGCCUUACACAUGCAAGUCGAACGGCAGCACGGGAGCAAUCCUGGUGGCGAGUGGCGAAGGGGUGAGUAAUAUAUCGGAACGUGCCCAGUCGUGGGGAUAACGUAGCGAAAGCUACGCUAAUACCGCAUACGAUCUAUGGAUGAAAGCGGGGGAUCGCAAGACCUCGCGCGAUUGGAGCGGCCGAUAUCAGAUUAGGUAGUUGGUGAGGUAAAGGCUCACCAAGCCGACGAUCUGUAGCUGGUCUGAGAGGACGACCAGCCACACUGGGACUGAGACACGGCCCAGACUCCUACGGGAGGCAGCAGUGGGGAAUUUUGGACAAUGGGCGCAAGCCUGAUCCAGCAAUGCCGCGUGCAGGAUGAAGGCCUGG